rnacentral:rRNA from 1 species
AACGGCCAUACUAUGUGGAAACCACCGGUUCUCGUCCGAUCACGAAAGUUAAGCAACAUUGGGUGUGGUUAGUACUUAUAUGGGUGACCGCUUGGGAACACCACGUGCUGUUG